UCAUAAGCGGUGGAAAAGAAACCAACAGGGAUUGCCUUAGUAGCGGCGAGUGAAGCGGCAAAAGCUCAAAUUUGAAAUCUGGCACCUUCGGUGUCCGAGUUGUAAUUUGAAGAUUGUAACCUUGGGGUUGGCUCUUGUCUAUGUUUCUUGGAACAGGACGUCACAGAGGGUGAGAAUCCCGUGCGAUGAGAUGCCCAAUCCUAUGUAAGGUGCUUUCGAAGAGUCGAGUUGUUUGGGAAUGCAGCUCUAAGUGGGUGGUAAAUUCCAUCUAAAGCUAAAUAUUGGCGAGAGACCGAUAGCGAACAAGUACAGUGAUGGAAAGAUGAAAAGAACUUUGAAAAGAGAGUGAAAAAGUACGUGAAAUUGUUGAAAGGGAAGGGUUUGAGAUCAGACUCGAUAUUUUGUGAGCCUUGCCUUCGUGGCGGGGUGACCCGCAGCUUAUCGGGCCAGCAUCGGUUUGGGCGGUAGGAUAAUGGCGUAGGAAUGUGACUUUGCUUCGGUGAAGUGUUAUAGCCUGCGUUGAU
rnacentral:rRNA from 1 species